rnacentral:rRNA from 1 species
UGAAUAGGAAUCUGCCCUAUAGUGGGGGACAACCUGGGGAAACCCAGGCUAAUACCGCAUAAUCUCUACGGAGGAAAGCCUUCGGGCGCUAUUGGAUGAGCCUAUUUCUGAUUAGCUUGUUGGUGAGGUAAAAGCUCACCAAGGCGACGAUCAGUAGCUGGUCUGAGGGGACGAUCAGCCACACUGGGACUGAGACACGGCCCAGACUCCUACGGGAGGCAGCAGUGGGGAAUAUUGGACAAUGGGGGAAACCCUGAUCCAGCAAUGCCGCGUGUGUGAAGAAGGCCUGCGGGUUGUAAA